GGACGUGCGGGCGAUCUGUCUGCGACAUCUGUCACCCCAUCGAUCGCCAGGGUUGAUUCGGCUGAUCUGGCUGGCUAGGCGGGUGUCCCUUUCCUCCCUCACCGCUCCAUGUGCAUCCCUCCCGAAGCUGUGUGCUCUGUCAAAGAGGAUGAGCUUCCCCGAUAGAGGACUGUUCUUCGGUCAAGGGUAUACGAGUAGCUGCGCUCCCCUGCUAGAACCUCCAAACAAGCUCUCAAACUUCACAUGGUUAAAACUGAGCUUAUUUUGUGCAACACCUG
rnacentral:snRNA from 1 species